GGGGUGACGCAGUCUAACACAUGCAGUCGAGCGGUAGCACAGAGAGCUUGCUCUCGGGUGACGAGCGGCGGACGGGUGAGUAAUGUCUGGGAAACUGCCUGAUGGAGGGGGAUAACUACUGGAAACGGUAGCUAAUACCGCAUAACGUCGCAAGACCAAAGUGGGGGACCUUCGGGCCUCAUGCCAUCAGAUGUGCCCAGAUGGGAUUAGCUAGUAGGUGGGGUAACGGCUCACCUAGGCGACGAUCCCUAGCUGGUCUGAGAGGAUGACCAGCCACACUGGAACUGAGACACGGUCCAGACUCCUACGGGAGGCAGCAGUGGGGAAUAUUGCACAAUGGGCGCAAGCCUGAUGCAGCCAUGCCGCGUGUGUGAAGAAGGCCUUCGGGUUGUAAAGCACUUUCAGCGGGGAGGAAGGCGUUGAGGUUAAUAACCUCAUCGAUUGACGUUACCCGCAGAAGAAGCACCGGCUAACUCCGUGCCAGCAGCCGCGGUAAUACGGAGGGUGCAAGCGUUAAUCGGAAUUACUGGGCGUAAAGCGCACGCAGGCGGUCUGUCAAGUCGGAUGUGAAAUCCCCGGGCUCAACCUGGGAACUGCAUUCGAAACUGGCAGGCUAGAGUCUUGUAGAGGGGGGUAGAAUUCCAGGUGUAGCGGUGAAAUGCGUAGAGAUCUGGAGGAAUACCGGUGGCGAAGGCGGCCCCCUGGACAAAGACUGACGCUCAGGUGCGAAAGCGUGGGGAGCAAACAGGAUUAGAUACCCUGGUAGUCCACGCCGUAAACGAUGUCGAUUUGGAGGUUGUGCCCUUGAGGCGUGGCUUCCGGAGCUAACGCGUUAAAUCGACCGCCUGGGGAGUACGGCCGCAAGGUUAAAACUCAAAUGAAUUGACGGGGGCCCGCACAAGCGGUGGAGCAUGUGGUUUAAUUCGAUGCAACGCGAAGAACCUUACCUGGUCUUGACAUCCACAGAACUUUCCAGAGAUGGAUUGGUGCCUUCGGGAACUGUGAGACAGGUGCUGCAUGGCUGUCGUCAGCUCGUGUUGUGAAAUGUUGGGUUAAGUCCCGCAACGAGCGCAACCCUUAUCCUUUGUUGCCAGCGGUCCGGCCGGGAACUCAAAGGAGACUGCCAGUGAUAAACUGGAGGAAGGUGGGGAUGACGUCAAGUCAUCAUGGCCCUUACGACCAGGGCUACACACGUGCUACAAUGGCAUAUACAAAGAGAAGCGACCUCGCGAGAGCAAGCGGACCUCAUAAAGUAUGUCGUAGUCCGGAUUGGAGUCUGCAACUCGACUCCAUGAAGUCGGAAUCGCUAGUAAUCGUAGAUCAGAAUGCUACGGUGAAUACGUUCCCGGGCCUUGUACACACCGCCCGUCACACCAUGGGAGUGGGU
rnacentral:rRNA from 2 species